GGGGACGACACUGGUUUCGACUGUUGGAUGUCCGGGGUAUAGUGGCAUGUAGGGGUGAAGGUCCUCUUAAAAACUUUCAAAACAAUAAACGCAAACAACGAAUUAGCUUUAGCAGCCUAAUAGUGCUGUUAACGGGAUACAAUUCUAAUCCUCUGGUGGAUUGAUGUUCCGACGCAAACAGAGGGCGGAAUUUUGAAUUUGAUGUCUUGUUGAAAUUCUGUAAAAAAGACAUUGUAGAGGUAAAAACCUGGUUGGGGGUUCAUUUUCCUUGAAAUUCAUACACAACCUAAACAUGUAGAAGCUAUAUUGAGGCCUAAUAGGACGUGGGUUCGACUCCCACCGUCUCCAGGU
rnacentral:tmRNA from 1 species